rnacentral:rRNA from 1 species
ACGGGUGAGUAAUGUAUCGGAACGUACCUGCUAGAGGGGGAUAACUCGUUGAAAGAGGAGCUAAUACCGCAUAGACUCUCUGGAGGAAAGUGGGGGACCCGCAAGGGCCUCACGCUAGCAGAGCGGCCGAUAUCUGAUUAGCUAGUUGGUGAGGUAAAGGCUCACCAAGGCGAUGAUCAGUAGCUGGUCUGAGAGGACGACCAGCCACACUGGAACUGAGAGACGGACCAGACUCCUACGGGAGGCAGCAGUGGGGAAUUUUGGACAAUGGGGGCAACCCUGAUCCAGCAAUGCCGCGUGAGUGAAGAAGGCCUUCGGGUUGUAAAGCUCUUUUGUUGGGGAAGAAAAGGUAGUUUCUAAUACAGACUGCUGAUGACGGUACCCAAAGAAUAAGCACCGGCUAACUACGUGCCAGCAGCCGCGGUAAUACGUAGGGUGCAAGCGUUAAUCGGAAUUACUGGGCGUAAAGCGUGCGCAGGCGGUUGUAUAAGUCAGCUGUGAAAUCCCCGGGCUUAACCUGGGAAUGGCAGUUGAGACUGUACGGCUAGAGUGUGUCAGAGGGGGGUAGAAUUCCAC